rnacentral:misc_RNA from 1 species
AAAGUGUUGAGCAAGCAGCCUCUCUGGAAUGGGUUGCUGACACACUACAAGGAGCAUGAAUGCUUGGUAGAAGGUCCUUUAAAUAACUUAAAGCAAAGUAUGGUACAGUUUCAGAAGCCAAAAAAGAUCUACAAUGACCGCAGGCUUUUCUUUGGUGGUGGACCUGGAAUUGUUCCCAGUGAUAAUUAUGGAUCUCCUGCCUCAUCAAACCCCAAUGCUGACAGGCGAAGUAGUCGCUCUAGGGGUUCUUACAUGGCACCUCGUCCAUCCAAUGGUACUCACAGACCUGGUGUCUAUCCUUCUGGUUAUCCAAUGCCUCGAGUUCCCAUCUCCCCUUACCAUGGCGGCCUUCCCCAACCGUAUGCAAUUCCUGCUCGUGGUGCUAUACAGGGACCUGUUGGAGCUGUACCUCAUGUUCCACAGCUAGGUAGCCGGGGUUUUGGUGCCGGGCGUGGGAAUGCCAAUGCUCCAAUUGGUAGCCAUCUUUCUCACCAGCAAGCCUCCCAGCAACCUAUUGGAAGUCAUGGACCUAACUUCAACUUUUCUGCACUUGAAAAUCCAAACAGUCAACCAUCCGGAGGACCUUUAUCUCAGCCUGGAUAUGCUUCUAAUAUGGCCGUUCAAGGACCAAGCCAGACAUUUCGCGAUGGAUUUUCAAUGGGCGGCAUGUCACAGGACUUCUUGGGAGAUGAUUUCAAGAGCCAGG